UCGGGAAUUUUGGGCAAUGGGCGAAAGCCUGACCCAGCAACGCCGCGUGAAGGAUGAAAUCUUUCGGGAUGUAAACUUCGGAAGAAUAGGAAGAAUAAAAUGACGGUACUAUUUUAAGGUCCGGCUAACUACGUGCCAGCAGCCGCGGUAAUACGUAGGGACCAAGCGUUGUUCGGAUUUACUGGGCGUAAAGGGCGCGUAGGCGGCGUAAUAAGUCACUUGUGAAAUCUCCGGGCUUAACUCGGAGCGGCCAAGUGAUACUGUUAGGCUAGAGUGCAGAAAGGGCAAUCGGAAUUCUUGGUGUAGCGGUGAAAUGCGUAGAUAUCAAGAGGAACACCUGAGGCGAAGGCGGGUUGCUAGGCUGACACUGACGCUGAGGCGCGAAAGCUAGGGUAGCAAACGGG
rnacentral:rRNA from 1 species